AUAAAUGCAUUUUAGUUUGCGCAAAUUGUCAUCGUGAAAUUGAAGGCGGCAUAACGCAGCUUCCUAGAGUAAUCUAGGUCGAAAACGAGGUGAAUUGCUGGAAACCCUUAAAAAAAUUAAGGGCAAUCAGCAGCCAAGCCCUCCAUAGCUUUAUGCGACGGGAGGGAAGGUUCAGAGACUAUCCUUUUAUGGAGUAGCCCAGAAGUUAUUCUGGUCGAAGCGCCUCGGUCGCCUCAGGCGACAUAAUAUAGUCCACCCCUAUUAGUAAUAGUAGG
rnacentral:ncRNA from 1 species